AAAAUUUGAAUAACUCGGUCUUCUUCAUGGGGGUUGAGCUUGAGAUGUCCACUACUCACGUGAUCUGUGGUGAACCAAGUUGUUCAACUCUCAGGAGGCACCAUAAGCCGGAUCGAAUUCAGAGGACAAGAUCUCAUGUACUGGGGACCAAAGGCGAUGGCCCUACCAUAUUCAUUGGAAGCAUGCUCCUUGUGAAGAUUUCCAUAAGCAUCCAUCACCUGAAAUCAAAGGUGUCAAAAAAUAUACAUAUGUCAGCUUAUAAUGCUGGUUAUAAGAAUCUCAAGCUUUGCACUCGUAAAAGCAUCACAUGCACAAAGCUUGAGGGGGCAUAUGUUGGAAUAAAAAAAAGAUCACAAAAAAAAAAAAAUUGAAACGGGCGAUUGGACCGUUAUUUGCCACAUUUAGCAAGCAGCAAAUUGGGGGUAGAGAUAAGGCUUAACAACCAUCUAUAAGAAAGUAGUUUGGAAAAAAGGUGGGAGUCUAGACCAAUGAAAACUCUUAAGAGAGGUUGGUGGCUCCUAUUUUUGGGGGAGCUGAUUAUUCAGUUUUCAAAUGA
rnacentral:lncRNA from 1 species